rnacentral:lncRNA from 1 species
UGUGUACAGAAGGCACGAUUCUUUGACGCAAUUAUGGAGACGACACAGCCAGCAUGAUCCUGUUUCUUUUGAUCCUCAAUUAUAUCUUCAAUGUAGGUUGGGCCUAUUGUGAUGUUAUUUAAACUUCUAGAAAGAAUGUCUGAAGUAUGAUUUCCAGAAAUAUGUUCGAUAUCACAAUUGAAUUUUGCUAUAAAUGCAAACGUACGGAACUGUCUUGGUGUUCAAGAAGGAUUGUGAAUGCCAAUCGCAGUAACUAAAGGUUUGUGAAUAUUUCUGUUGUGUCGUUGAAUGAGCGCGAGACCAAAAAGCUAGAGUUUGCCAGUGUCCAUUUACCUUUUGCUCGAGAACAGCUCCCAUUCUUGUACCAGGCGCAUCAGUCGUCAGGAUUAAAGGCAAUGAACUAUCUCUGAAUGCAAGUUGAGUACUUUUAGACAAACUAUUUUUAAUACUUUGAAAGGCGUGUUCAUGUUCUGUAUUCCAAUUAAACUUUACAUUAUUCUUUAACAGGGUGUACAAGUUAACUGUCAAUUGACACAAUCUUUGAAUGAACUGAGAGUAAUAUUGUGGCAUUCCCAAAAAUCUAUGCAGUCCAUCUUUUGAUUUUGGAGUUGGUACUUUUUAGAUUGCCUUUAGCUUACAUUCUAGAUGUCUAAGACCUUUCGAUGAUAUAGAAUGUCCAAGGAAGUCUACCGAUUUCAUAAAAAACUCACAUUUUUCAGGGGAUAAGAUCAUACCAGCUGUUUUAAGUCUUGAUAAAACCGCGUUUGACGUUUUCCCCAAUGUUUAUCCAUCGACUAUGAAGCGAUAAGGAUAUAAUCAAGGUAACCAAACACAUUUGGGAUUCCUCGUAGAAUUGAAUCGACAAGUCUCUGAAAUGCCUGAACAGCAAUUUUAAGACCAAAAGGACUUGAGGUCAGCAAUUUUGUCUUGGCGUACAUGGCAGUAUUUCGAUUCCACUUGCCAAUAGAUAAUCUAGUGCAACGGUUUGAGAUCUGGGCUCUGGGGUGGUCAUUUCUAUAAAAGAUUUAAAUAGCUUUAGUUUUUGACAAAUCAAGGUUGAUGUGAAUAUGGUAAAAUUGUUUCGCUCUAAGAAUAAACAAAAAACUUAAAAAAAUAUAUCAAUAUAAGUGUCUUAGAAGCCGAGAAAAUACCAUCUGAAUGUGACCAACGAAUUUUAGUCCGCGCACUUUUGAACGCUGACUCUCAAUACUACAAAGCAUUCUAUAUUUGUGAUGCCCCUGGGCUUUGUGGCCUCAGAUGGCAAGGCCAUUCCCCUCAUCUUGUUUCUGGUCGGGUAAAGGCUCACAGGGGCCGACUUUGUGCCGAACUUGGAGGAAAAGUUGUAAUAAUGGGACUAGACCAACUACCCGGACAUGAACGUGGUAUUCCAGUAGAAUAGUACGCCUACAAACACGCCCAAAAAGUGGUUGGAGGACAACUUGCCUCUCUAGCCAAAGAAAAUUUGUCCCUCUACUCACCAGAUGACAACCCAUUGGACUUCACAUUUGGGUGCAUGUUGAGUCAAAGGCCUACACCGUCCGUCACCCAAAUAUCAACAACCUCAAGCACACCGUCAACCAAUACUGGGAUGGCAUGUCUGAGGACUACAUCUGCAAUGGGUGCAAGACCUUCCGUUGUAGCCUGGAAGACAUCAUUUCUGAGUCGAUCAUUAUCGGUAAUUCAUUUACUUUUCCACAACACCAGUAUCAGUUUGAUUCUGUUUUGUUUCAUGAUUACUAAUUUCAUAGAAUUUCUUCAGCCAUUCCUCCACGAUCAGCUCGUUAAAUCUUUUAAAAUUAUUAACAUUGAAAAUCUCAUUUUUCUGUUUCUGUUAACCAAUAUAUAUUAUAUACCCUUCAGUUUAGGAAUAAAUUUUUUUUAUUGCCUUGUAUGUUUUUAAUCUGCAAUGACUUAUAUAUUUUUAACUAUUCCAAUAUUUGCCUAAUGCAAAUACAACAUUUUCUAUAAAUAUAACAUUCCUCAUA